rnacentral:rRNA from 1 species
CAAUAGCGUAUAUUAUUGAUGUUGCAGUUGAAACGUUCGUAGUCGAACCUUAUCUGCUCAAGUAUUGCGUCAUCGACGAUGUCGCAUUACUCUCAGCAGAGAUUGUGCAAGGGUAUGUGUUUUGCAUGUAUCAUUUGCAUCUUACUUUGAGUGAAUCGGCGUGUUCCACGCAGGCGUCUGCCUUGAACGAUUUACCAUAGCAUAACUAGAGUAUGGGGGUGUUUCCUUGCUAGUUCGGAAACAUUUUCGAUACUGAAAAGAACGGUUGAGGGCAUUCGUAUUCAACUGCUAGAGGUGAAAUUCUUUGAUUAGUUGAGGACGAACCAUUGCGAAAGCAUCUGCCAAGGACGUUUCUUUUGA